UGCAAGUCGAGCGGAAACGAGUUGUCUGAACCUUCGGGGAACGAUAACGGCGUCGAGCGGCGGACGGGUGAGUAAUGCCUGGGAAAUUGCCCUGAUGUGGGGGAUAACCAUUGGAAACGAUGGCUAAUACCGCAUAAUAGCUUCGGCUCAAAGAGGGGGACCUUCGGGCCUCUCGCGUCAGGAUAUGCCCAGGUGGGAUUAGCUAGUUGGUGAGGUAAUGGCUCACCAAGGCGACGAUCCCUAGCUGGUCUGAGAGGAUGAUCAGCCACACUGGAACUGAGACACGGUCCAGACUCCUACGGGAGGCAGCAGUGGGGAAUAUUGCACAAUGGGCGCAAGCCUGAUGCAGCCAUGCCGCGUGUAUGAAGAAGGCCUUCGGGUUGUAAAGUACUUUCAGCAGUGAGGAAGGUGGRRGUGUUAAUAGCYCRRUCAUUUGACGUUAGCUGCAGAAGAAGCACCGGCUAACUCCGUGCCAGCAGCCGCGGUAAUACGGAGGGUGCGAGCGUUAAUCGGAAUUACUGGGCGUAAAGCGCAUGCAGGUGGUUUGUUAAGUCAGAUGUGAAAGCCCGGGGCUCAACCUCGGAAUUGCAUUUGAAACUGGCAGACUAGAGUACUGUAGAGGGGGGGUAGAAUUUCAGGGUGUAGCGGUGAAAUGCGUAGAGAUCUGAAGGAAUACGGGUGGGCGAAGGCGGCCCCCUGGGACAGAUACUGACACUCA
rnacentral:rRNA from 1 species